rfam:Fukomys damarensis contig154306, whole genome shotgun sequence.
GGAUAUGACGGUGACCUGGCUGCAGGAGCACCUGUUACCCCAUUGAUUGCCGGGGUUGAUUACACUGAUGGGCUGGCUAGAAAGGUCUGCAUUCCCCCCUCACAGAUCCAUGUGUGUCCCUUUGAAGUCCUGUUCUAGGUGGCACAUGAAGACCAUAUGACAGAGGAGAAUAAUUUCCUCAGUCAAGGAAAGGAAUAAGAACUGUUGUUCCUCCCUGCUAGAACUUCCAAACCAAGAAGUCUUUUUUUUUUUUGUGAGAGACCUCAAUACUGUUUUCCACAGUGCUUUAUCAAUUGCCAUAACAACAAUGU